AGGAUUAGGAGGAAUUCUUUUAGAAGACAUAGAAGAAGCACUGCCCAAUUCCCAGAAAGCUGUCAAGGCUUUGGGGGACCAGAUACUAUUUGUAAAUCGUCCCGAUAAGAAGAAAAUACUUUUCUUCAAUGAUAAGAGCUGUCAGUUUUCUGUGGAUGAAGGCUGGAGUGCAGUGGUGUGAUCUCGGCUCACCGCAACCUCUGCCUCCCGGACUCAAGCGAUUCUCCUUUCUCAGCCUCCGAAGUAGCUGGGACUACAGGCAUGUGCCACCACGCCUGGCUAAUUUUGUAUUUUUAAUAGAGAUGGGGUUUCUCCAUGUUGGUCAGGCUGGUCUCGAACUCCUGACCUCGGGUGAUCUGCCUGCCUUGGCCUCCUAAAGUGCUUGGAUUACAGAGCCACCAUGCUUGGUGAGGCAGGUAUUAUUAUUAUCCUCACUUUAUAGAUGAAGAAAUGGAGGCAGAAAAAUUGAGGUAUUUGCGCCACUUUGUGCAGGAAAUGUGGUAACUGAGGUCACAGCCAGGCCAUCUGGCUCUGAGGCCUGCACCACACUGUUGUGCUACUUUUGCAUUUACAGGAAAGGGCUAAGCACAGACAAAAUGUGAGUGCGUUAUUUGGGAAUUUUAAGCAAAGCUUCAUUGGUAAGUUGGCUCGUUUUCUUCCCUUCUAUGGCAGUUACAGUUUUUUAUUCUUAACUCAUGUGGGACAAGAAAGGGUCUUUUGAAAUGAAAGGAUCAAAUCUGAGCUUUUAAAUUCUAGUCUGUUUUCUCCUCUUCUGCUAAGAGAGUAGAUUUCUAAAUCAGUUCUGAUUUUAUU
rnacentral:sRNA from 1 species